rnacentral:rRNA from 1 species
GCAUAACGCGAAGAACCUUACCCACCUUUGACAUGUACGGAAUCCUUUAGAGAUAGAGGAGUGCUCGAAAGAGAGCCGUAACACAGGUGCUGCAUGGCUGUCGUCAGCUCGUGUCGUGAGAUGUUGGGUUAAGUCCCGCAACGAGCGCAACCCUUGCCAUUAGUUGCUACGAAAGGGCACUCUAAUGGGACUGCCGGUGACAAACCGGAGGAAGGUGGGGAUGACGUCAAGUCCUCAUGGCCCUUAUAGGUGGGGCUACACACGUCAUACAAUGGCUGGUACAAAGGGUUGCCAACCCGCGAGGGGGAGCUAAUCCCAUAAAGCCAGUCGUAGUCCGGAUCGCAGUCUGCAACUCGACUGCGUGAAGUCGGAAUCGCUAGUAAUCGCGGAUCAGAAUGUCGCGGUGAAUACGUUCCCGGGUCUUGUACACACCG